rnacentral:rRNA from 1 species
CCUACGGGUGGCAGCAGUGAGGAAUAUUGGUCAAUGGACGCAAGUCUGAACCAGCCAUGCCGCGUGAAGGAAGACGGCUCUAUGAGUUGUAAACUGCUUUUGUACGGGGGUAAACGCAGAUACGCGUCUCUGUCUGAAAGUAUCGUACGAAUAAGGAUCGGCUAACUCCGUGCCAGCAGCCGCGGUAAUACGGAGGGUUCAAGCGUUAUCCGGAUUUAUUGGGUUUAAAGGGUGCGUAGGCGGUCGGGUAAGUUAGAGGUGAAAUCCCGAGGCUCAACCUCGGAAUUGCCUCUGAUACUGGGCGGCUAGAGAGUAGAUGCGGUAGGCGGAAU